rnacentral:rRNA from 1 species
AGAGAUGUGUGAUGACGCAUAUCAAUAAGCGGAGGAAAAGGAAACUAACAAGGAUUCCCUUAGUAACGGCGAGUGAAGCGGGAAGAGCUCAAAUUUGAAAUCUUCAAGGUUCUACCUUGACGAAUUGUAGUUUAUAGAAGUGUUUUCUGUUAGUAGGAGUGGCAAAAGUUCUUUGGAAUAGGACAUCAUAGAGGGUGAGAAUCCCGUAUUUGGUCAUUCCUCCUAGCGUUGUGAUACACUUUCAACGAGUCGGAUUGUUUGGAGAAAUGCAGUCCAAAGUGGGUGGUAAAUUUCAUCUAAAGCUAAAUAUUGGCGAGAGACCGAUAGCGAACAAGUACCGUGAGGGAAAGAUGAAAAGAACUUUGAAAAGAGAGUUAAAGCAGUACGUGAAAUUGUCAAAAGGGAAGCGUUUGACACCAGUGUUGUUUUUCCGGAAAAUCAAUUACGAAUGUUUUAUUUUUGAGGAGUUAUGACUUCAUCGGCUUGCUCCUUUCUUUACUGAAACUUUCUUAAUGCACUUUUCGGUUAACAAGUCAACAUCAAUUUCUUUUGUUGUAAAAGGGUACGAGGAAGGUGGCUUUCUUUUCGGAGAAAGUGUUUAUAGCCUUGUACCUCUGCAAUCGGAGAGAUUGAGGUCUGCAGCGUAGAUCCUUCGGGGUUAGAUACAUUUGUGCUAAGUUAUAGCUUUUCAUAGACAACUUGUUGACUAUGUUAAGUCUUGUAGCUUACCCGCUUAUGCUAUUUUACCUACGCUUAGGAUGUUGAUAGUCACAGCGUGUAC